GUUCGUGUUGGGACGCAUUCUUUGUUGUCGUUAUCUUGUUCAUGCGGACACGUGAUUCAUUAUGUCACGUAAUGUCAAGUACUAACGUGGUGGUUGUUUUCACGUGGUGUAUACGUUUCGAUGUAUAGUCACGUUCUCAUGUGGUUUUGUGAUGUGACGCAGUAUGUGUUGACCUCACUUGGUUCAUGCAGUCACGUGGUACAUUAGAUCACGUGUGUCACGUGCCGACAUAGUGCGUGUUGUCACGGACUUAUAUGUUUAGUGCUUCAGAUACAUUGCAGAGUGCCUGGGUGCGCAGGAGAAAGUGGAGAAGGCUCACCGGAUGUUGCGGGAACUCAAGGAGCACCGGCUGGAGCGGCGCCUGAACCCCGACCAGUUCUUCCACUACAACGUUCACUGGGUCGGCAGGGAAGGUAUUAAGCACACACGCAGGUAUCGAGCCGGAAACCAGCGAAGAGCACCGGAAGUACAUGGCGCGCCUCUGCAAGGACUUCACGGACAACAUGAUAUCCAUGGUAACUCAGGCUAUCCGGAAGCGGAAGCUUCUGCAUGAUCGGCUCACCGAGGAAUGUCUGCAGCACAUCCGUUUGUGCCAGGCAAAGUGCGCGGAGUUCCAUGGACGUACCGAGACGCUGGAGCGGAUCAAAUCCUACCUGCUGGAUACAUCGACAACGGCCCCGCUCGUUGUGCACGGGAUCAGUGGAACGGGCAAAACGUCCAUCCUGGCGAUGUCGGCGAAUCUUUGCAAGACCUGACUGAACAAGACACCAAUGCUCGUGUUAAGGUUUCUCGGUACAACAGUUGCGAGUUCUUCCGUUCUGCCUCUGCUACAGAGUCUGGUGCACCAACUGAGUAUGCUGGGUAAUCAACGCCUCCGAAUCAGCCUGACCGUCGACCUUCUAAAAGUUCAGUUGAUGGUCCUUUUAAAGCAAGGCACGGCGGAGUGUCCACUCGUGGUCAUCUUAGACUCGCUUGACCAGCUGGACACCUCACACAAUGGCCGCUCCUUGACGUGGCUUCCGGCCUCUCUGCCGCCUCACUGCAAGGUCAUCGUAUCAUCACUUCCGGAGGAGAAAUAUGAGGCGUUUCCGGCCCUCAAUGUGCGGGUGCUCUCAAUAAGGCAACUAGUGUACUCGUAUAAGGGGAAAACGAUGUAGAGGCGAAUUCUAAUUCAUACGUGUUCUCCCGGAAGCACUUUUAAAAAACUUUUUAUGAGUGAAGAAGUGAAACAAACGAACCCACAUUAAGACCACACCAAAGUUUCUAACAUUUCUCAUAACAGUGUUUAGUUCAAGCUUUCAUGUGGUUAACAGAUGGGUAUAAAAGAUUUAAACUGAUAAUUCACUGUUUCAAACAGUAAAAACACUAUUUUGGCGUCACAAAUUCAUAAUUCCCGCGAAAGUCACCAGUUUAUAUCAGUUUAUAUCAACAUAAUGCAAACAUGCAUACAAUUGAAAUAAAAUGUGUUGCCUAUGGUGGACUAACUAUUUUGAGUUAAACACUCGUGAUCAUAGAACAUUAAAAAGUCUCGGUCUGAGAUAACGGGGCUUGAUACAUCUGCGUUAAGUGUGAUCCAAGAAAUUAAUUCAUGACGAGGAAAGGUUCAUACAGGUUCCGGAAUAAGAUCAAAGCGAUGCACACAUCAUAGUUUUGUCGUGGGCGGACAAACGGAACCGGAAGUUGACUUCACCCCAGAUUGACAUCCUGCUGAGCACAUUCCGGAAGUGCCUGACACCGCUGUUCUUAAAGUUUUCGUUUGACGAAGCCAUGCUGUGGCGCUCGUUCGACCCCCCAUCACGGACGGUGCUGCAGA